CUGGAGUAGAGGAGAAAGAGGGCUGGACUGCACUCUCAAUCAGCCCUCUGGAACUCAGCAUCAGAAUCUAGUAGUCCACCCCACCUCUGGGAUAAUAGCCUUCUCUUGCUGCCAUCUACUGCAGUUAGUCCUAUAGCUCAAAUGGUAGCAGCCAGUGCUGUGGAGCUGGAGGUUCAAGGUUGUAUGAUUUUCUGUGAGGCAUAGCAGGCCUUUACACAACUUAAUGAGUGUUUGUUACUGAAGUUCUUGAAAUGUUUCACUUCCUCUCUGUUUUGUGAUUAGUGUUAAAGAGAGAAUUGGAAAAUGUUAUUCAGUACAGAAAGUUGGUCAAGUCCAAGACUAUCAAGGCAACAACCCAAGAGUCUCAGUUCUACAAGGAACUAAAGGAUCUAAUUCAGAAGUAUGAAGGACACCUUUCCCAAUUGUCAAAAAGAUGCGAUGAAAUGAAGAAGCUCUACAGUGACACACUGGUAAAAUUUGGGGAAUCACCAGAUCAAGACUCUCAAGAGCUAUUUGGCUGGAUUUCUGCAUUUAUUAAGGAAUUCAGGAAGGUCUCUGCAGACAUUGUCAUAAAGUCACCAAUAUAAUGUUAAAGGAAAAGAACUUUUUCUUAAAUUUUGUGUCAUGGAACUUUGUUGCCUGGGGGCUUUUGGGGGUACUUAGAUGGCAUAUAGAAAUUGUACUUGCUCUCUGAGCAGGGGUGAAUUUUGCCCUGUGUGGUAUAGUUAAAGUAGAUACUAUACACUUACAAGGUUUUAAAAUUUGCCCUUCAAAAUCCCAGAUUAUCUAUGUGCAUCUUCCUGGUUUUGUUUCUAACUUUCUUACCAAUGCAUCUAUUUUGGGGGCCAAAAAUAUUUUAUCCACUGAAAUGUCUGUAUACUGUGAGGGGAGAAAAUCUCAGCAUAUUAUAAAUUCUCUUUUUAAUACUUUUCUUUGAUACCCAGUCUUUUGAGUGAAUUUUAUGGAGCCCUCCUGAGGAAAGAAUAACUGUGUGGUGUUCUAAUUUUUUAUUCUUCU
rnacentral:lncRNA from 1 species